GUAAUAGUUAAACCUCCAACAAAGGGUUUGAGAAAGACCCUUCUAGGUUGAAAUAUUAACAUGUUCAACCUAAUGUUUGGUGGAGUAGGACUCAUUUUUCAAUCGGGUGCAGUGAUUUUGGUGCCUAAUGGCUUUUUUAAAUUUGCAAAGGUUCCAUAGUGUUGAAGAAAAUAUUAUCUUCAGGUUUUUUUUUUCUUGUUUUAGCCUGAACAUUGCAAUUUAAUUGGUGAAUCA